GACAGAGGAUGCAAACGUUAUUCGGAAUCACUGGGCUUACAGGGUGCGUAGGCGGCUUGUUAAGUAGGGUGUGAAAGCCCCCGGCUCAACCGGGGAAUGGCGCCCUAAACUGGCGAGCUGGAGUGAGAUAGGGGUGUGCGGAACUUCCGGUGGAGCGGUGAAAUGUGUUGAUAUCGGAAGGAACGCCGGUGGCGAAAGCGGCACACUGGAUCUCAACUGACGCUGAGGCACGAAAGCUAGGGUAGCGAACGGG
rnacentral:rRNA from 1 species